AGCGGAGGGAAAAGAACAACAGGGAUUGCCCUAGUAACGGCGAGUGAAGCGGCAACAGCUCAAAUUUGAAAUCUGGCUCCGGCCCGAGUUGUAAUUUGCAGAGGAAGCUUUGGGCGCGGUACCAACUGAGUCCCCUGGAACGGGGCGCCACAGAGGGUGAGAGCCCCGUAUAGUUGGAUGCCUAGCCUGUGUAAAGCUCCUUCGACGAGUCGAGUAGUUUGGGAAUGCUGCUCAAAAUGGGAGGUAAAUUUCUUCUAAAGCUAAAUACCGGCCAGAGACCGAUAGCGCACAAGUAGAGUGAUCGAAAGAUGAAAAGCACUUUGAAAAGAGGGUUAAAUAGCACGUGAAAUUGUUGAAAGGGAAGCGCUUGUGACCAGACUUGCGCCCGGCUGAUCAUCCGGUGUUCUCACCGGUGCACUCUGCCGGGCUCAGGCCAGCAUCGGUUCUCGCGGGGGGAUAAAGGCCCUGGGAACGUAGCUCCUCCGGGAGUGUUAUAGCCCAGGGCGUCAUACCCUCUCGGGGACCGAGGUUCGCGCAUCUGCAAGGAUGCUGGCGUAAUGGUCAUCAGCGACCCGUCUUGAAACACGGACCAAGGAGUCAAGGUUUUGCGCGAGUGUUUGGGUGUAAAACCCGCACGCGUAAUGAAAGUGAACGUAGGUGAGAGCUUCGGCGCAUCAUCGACCGAUCCUGAUGUUUUCGGAUGGAUUUGAGUAGGAGCGUUAAGCCUUGGACCCGAAAGAUGGUGAACUAUGCUUGGAUAGGGUGAAGCCAGAGGAAACUCUGGUGGAGGCUCGCAGCGGUUCUGACGUGCAAAUCGAUCGUCAAAUCUGAGCAUGGGGGCGAAAGACUAAUCGAACCAUCUAGUAGCUGGUUACCGCCGAAGUUUCCCUCAGGAUAGCAGUGUUGUCUUCAGUUUUAUGAGGUAAAGCGAAUGAUUAGGGACUCGGGGGCGCUUUUUAGCCUUCAUCCAUUCUCAAACUUUAAAUAUGUAAGAAGCCCUUGUUACUUAGUUGAACGUGGGCAUUCGAAUGUACCAACACUAGUGGGCCAUUUUUGG
rnacentral:rRNA from 1 species